AAUGGAUGCUAACAAAAAAAAAUAUAUAGUCUAUCUUGGGAGAGGGACAGCAUUUUCUUUUCAUCGCAGACUGCAGGUUAAUUAAUUCGUUUUCUGAACGUUGUUCGGACCGGACUGAAUAUAUAAUGCCUGGUUUAUUUCUCUAUAGUUUCAGGUGGCCAUUGUUAGGUUACACAUACGUGAGCUUCUUUUUUUCAGAUUCCGGUGUCCGGUCGGCAUUGAUUAGUUUGUCGACUUGCGACUAUGAGCCGACGCAACGAGUACAUAUAUAGAGUAAUGGUAGACAAAGCCUAAAGUGACUUUAGCUAAGGAGAGGAAAAGUGUAUUAGGUUAUUCUUUUCCACGUCGUGGUGCACUAUACUCCGCGCGGCCAUAUAUUGUCGUAGUAGCGUUGAGAUGGGUUUUAGUCUUGGUUUAUUAUUGGAGAUUAAAGAGUUUUACUCUCGAUUUUUUAACCGGGACUGGAUCUGAAACUGAACCCUAAACGCGAGGACGAGGGGAGUCAGAGACAAUGGCGAAUGCCGCGCACCAGAGAUGACCGUGGGCCGGCCUGUUUGGUAUUGCCACGAUCGGAGCCAUGGCUGGCUGGCUGUCACGGGCACCUCUCAUCCACGGGCUCUCCUGUUCCUACUGCCGGCAAGGAUUACCUCGAGCCCUUCAUCCGCCACGCCACCAUCUCGUUGUCAGGUGGCAACGUAGACACAAAGAGGGAGCUUUCCAUCCAUGCGUUACUAAAAUAAUUAUAAUGGUAUGCAUCAAUCAACCCAAUUUGUUACUGCUAUAUAUACUGCUGCUGUGUGAUACAGUUGGCUGACCCUUUCCAUGCGUUACUAAAAUUUCAUACUACUA
rnacentral:lncRNA from 7 species